CACGUAGGGCGCAAGCGUUGUCCGGAAUUAUUGGGCGUAAAGAGCUCGUAGGUGGUUUGUUACGUCUGCUGUGAAAACCUAGGGCUUAACCCUGGGCUUGCAGUGGAUACGGGCAGACUAGAGGUAGGUAGGGGAGAAUGGAAUUCCUGGUGUAGCGGUGAAAUGCGCAGAUAUCAGGAGGAACACCGGUGGCGGAGGCGGAUCUCUGGGCCGUAACUGACGCUGAGGAGCGAAAGCAUGGGGAGCGAACAGG
rnacentral:rRNA from 1 species